AAUUACCAAAUCUCCACUAGAUAAACCCAUCUUUAAUCUAUCAAUACCUUUAUUCCAACAGAAGCACACAAACGACAACCAACUAUUUGAAUCGACCGAUAAUUUUACACCAAAAAUAAUAAAUUAGAGAAACAAAAGUGAAAUAAGCCCAAAUUCGUGACCAAGAAAAUGACAGAUAAAGAAGAAUGAACAUUCCAGUAGAAUCAUUUCUUUCAGCUUUUCUUGGAGGUCAAUUUUUCGGUGAAAGAGAUCUGGCGAGGUCGGUCAAUGAUUCUAUAGUGGACUCUUUGCUUUGGCUAUUCCUUUUUGUUUCAUAUUUGAAUUAGUUUUAUGGAAAGAUUUAGAUUUAAGUUUCAAGCAUGGAUAAAUAAAUUUUAAGUAUAAGACAUGUUGGUGAAGAAGGUGGGAAGCGGAAGGGGUCUAUAAUGGAAAGAUUUAUAUUUAAUUAGUUGGAUGGAGAGUGGACUAGGAAAAAAGAGAAGCAGAAGCAGAAGAAGGAAGAAGGAAGAAGAUGAACAGGGGUGGGGGUAUGCUG
rnacentral:lncRNA from 1 species